rnacentral:rRNA from 1 species
UACGUAGGGGGCAAGCGUUGUCCGGAUUUAUUGGGCGUAAAGCGCUCGCAGGUGGCUCGUCGCGUCGUGCGUGAAAGACCCCGGCUCAACUGGGGAGGGUCGUGCGAUACGGGCGGACUGGAGGCCAGUAGGGGGAUGCGGAAUUCCGGGUGUAGUGGUGGAAUGCGUAGAGAUCCGGAGGAACACCAGCGGCGAAGGCGGGUAGCUGGGCCGACACUGACGCUGAGGCGCGAAAGCCAGGGGAGCGAACGGG